UGUGGUGGACCUCCUCCUAUGAGAAUAUUAAAUAUGACAUUUCCUGUUGAAGUUAAGUUCAAUAAGGACACUGGAAAUUCAAGUCUAUUUGAGUACAC
rnacentral:ribozyme from 1 species